UACGUAGGGUGCAAGCGUUAAUCGGAAUUACUGGGCGUAAAGCGUGCGCAGGCGGUUUUGUAAGUCUGUCGUGAAAUCCUCGGGCUCAACCUGAGAAUUGCGAUGGAGACUGCAAGGCUAGAAUCUGGCAGAGGGGGGUAGAAUUCCACGUGUAGCAGUGAAAUGCGUAGAUAUGUGGAGGAACACCGAUGGCGAAGGCAGCCCCCUGGGUCAAAACUGACGCUCAUGCACGAAAGCGUGGGGAGCAAACAGG
rnacentral:rRNA from 1 species